rfam:Betaproteobacteria bacterium RIFCSPLOWO2_02_FTLL_62_17 rifcsplowo2_02_scaffold_16404, whole genome shotgun sequence.
UAGCGGGUUGAAGUCCCGUCCGGGGAGUUGUCCGUACGCCCCGGUAGCUGAGGAAGCGGCGCCGUGGCAACACGGGGUCGUGAGUUUGCAAACAGCAAGAGAGCAGGCCGUAACGCAA